UCUCAUGCUGUAUCUAUCCAGCGACCAAUCAGUGCUCCGCAGGUCAUUGGUGCCGCCCACUGAACUGAUGCAGAGAUGAAAGCUGUACAGCAGUCUUUGCUAACGGUGUGUGCGGGACAAUAAAGCACAGCGGUCACACUGGUAAAUUCCAGAAAUAUUUUGCCUCUUCUGUUAUUGAGCAAGAGUGAAACUUGGAACGUUUGAUUAGCUCAGCUUGUUGCGCAAGGGUUAAAUGUAAUAUUGAAAAAAAAACCAGCUGUCUUGUUCUUGUUUCCUCAAUCUGCAUACACUGUUUAAACACAUUAACUUUCACCAGGCUUGGAGCUGGUGCAGCUAGUCCUCAAAAGGAUAUUUCUUCAGCGUAUAAAACAUUUCAGAAAAAAUAAAUAUUAAUCCUGCAAGGAAAAGGAACGCUGUGAUUUGUUUUUAUGACCACAUUUGUGUAUGAGUGUGUAAGAGACAUCUGCACAUGCUCAGACCUGAGAGACCUUGCCUUCAAACCACAUCCUGAUUCACACAAGAUACAAGAUCAGCUGUAAGAUCUGAGGAUUUUACCAAAUCAGCUCACCUGUUCAAACAGAUCACUUCAAACUCCUAGACAAGCCAUGGAUUUUGAGAACAGCAAAGAAGGAUGUAAAAACUGCCAAAAGAAUUGUAAUAACAAAUGCCAAUGUCAUCGUCAUACAAUAACCCAAAGUCCUAAACCUAAGCAAAGGACUGAGGAGAAGACGUCUGAAGGGCCUUCAAAAGAGUGCGGCUUCUGUGAUUGCGGCCUCUGUUAUUUUGUCCCCUUUGACUGUGGCUCCUGUGAUUGUGGCCCCGAUGAUGGUGGCUCUGGUGGUGCUGGUGAUGGUAGCUCAUGUGAUUGUGGACCCUGUGAUUGCGACCCCUGUGAUUGCGGCCCCUGCGAUUGCGUUUCCUGUGAUUGUGGCUCCUGUGAUUGUGGCUCCUGUAUUAUUCAGUGAAUAUUUGCAGGAUGUUUGUCAGAUGGGUAUAGCAAAUGUCAGCUCCAGUGAAGAACAUCAUCAACACAAAGACAACAGCACUAUGAUCUACAAUAAACAUCAGGACAUCUGUAGUGCCAUCGUGGAUGUUAAACAUCAUAAAGACAAUAUUAUCUAUACAUAUAAAUACAGUUCCAACCAAAAUAUCAAAGUCAAUUAAAUAGCAAAUCAGUUAAGUGCUUAAUGUUUUUUCUGUAUUUAUUAAUAAUAUUCCUAAAUAGGUUAACUAUAUCCUCAAAUAUGAGUAAUAGGUAUUACAUCUUACUUAUUCUUUAAAAGUCUUACAAUGCAAUUUGCCUUAUACAUUUACAGAAAAACCAGAGUACAGGCAGUUUUAGUUUAAAGCUAAAAAGAUUAUAAUCGCUAAUUAUAAAUUAUAAAAUUAUAAGAGCCUAUUUGAAAAAUACUGUUCGCUGAUGCUAACUGGCAAGUUAACUAGCUACCUGAUGCUAACUUGAGGUAAUUUUAAAUAACUACGAUGAUUGCCCAGACUAUUUGAGAAAAAAAAUAUGAUGUCAUUCUAAAUAUAUUUAUAUGUUUCUUAAAUAACAUGUUCUAUGGACCUAGUGUUUUCAUAACUUAUAUAACUGUGAUUUUCUACAAAACAAACUUUAAAACACUUUUUUGUGUCUAUUACUCCUGAAAAUUAGUUCAUUUACUGUGAAAUGUAUUGUCUCUCAAGGUACUUCACCAGUGUAAGCUUUGUCGUGAAUACUUCUACGUCCCUCUUGUCAAUGCAGUUACAUAGUGACAAUAAAAUGUAUCUUGACUUG